GACGAACGCUGGCGGCGUGCUUAACACAUGCAAGUCGAGCGAGCGGCGGACGGGUGAGUAAUGUAUGGGGACUGCCCGAUAGAGGGGGAUAACUACUGGAAACGGUGGCUAAUACCGCAUACUAUCGGAUAACCCAUAUGGGAGUAGCCAGUAGGUGGGGUAAAGGCUCCCCUAGGCGACGAUCUCUAGCUGGUCUGAGAGGAUGAUCAGCCACACUGGGAAUGAGACACGGCCCAGACUCCUACGGAGGCAGCAGGGGGGAAUAUUGCACAAUGGGCGCAAUCCUGAUGCAGCCAUGCCGCGUGUAUGAAGAAGGCCUUAGGGUUGUAAAGUACUUUCAGCGGGGAGGCGUUACCCGCAGAAGAAGCACCGGCUAACUCCGUGCCAGCAGCCGCGGUAAUUC
rnacentral:rRNA from 1 species